AAACGCACUCUAACAAAGACCGGGAAAGGCACAGGGAAAGCAGCAGCAGAAGCAGAAAAAGAUAGAGUGAGGUGAAGAAAGAUGUCGAAUUUGCAGUUACAGCUUCACUCUCCUCCACCAUCAUCCCUCUUAUCAUCUUCAUCAUCACCAUCAUCACUAUACUCUUCUUCUUCUCUUAAGCUAUUCCCAAACCACCCUUUUUCCACAAAGUCCCUUCCUUUCAACAAUCAUAAACAUUUCUCCCUAAGAUGCCGCCACACUGACCUCUUCGACCAGAACACCAUAGCCUCCACACCACGACCAACGAGACCCUCUGCUUCAGUUGGAGCUUUGCCGCCUAGGGUUUAUGUUGGUUACUCCAUUUACAAAGGGAAGGCUGCGCUUACAUUGACUCCUAGGCCCCCGGAAUUCAUGCCGCUCGAUUCAGGAGCAUACAAAAUAUCCAAGGAAGGUUAUGUGCUGCUUCAGUUUGCACCGGCGGUUGGUACGCGCCAAUAUGAUUGGAAUAGGAAGCAGGUGUUUUCCUUAUCAGUGAGUGAAAUGGGAAGUGUGAUUAGCCUUGGUGCAAGGGACUCUUAUGAACUUUUUCAUGAUCCUUUUAAGGGCAAAAGUGAUGAAGGUAAAGUCAGAAAAAUUUUGAAGGUGGAGCCUCUUCCAGAUGGUUCUGGACACUUCUUUAACCUAAUUCUAACUCUGUUAUGGAAUUUCCCAAGGUGUUCAAAACAACCUUGUGAAUGUGGAUGAAAGCAUCUAUAUCCCUGUUACAAAAGCAGAGUUGGCAGUUUUGACCUCAACUUUCAAUUUUAUCAUGCCAUACCUUCUGGGUUGGCACACCUUUGCAAACUCCAUAAAGCCAGAAGAUAAUGGAGUGAAUAAUGCCAACCCAAGAUAUGGAGGAGACUAUGAAUGGAACAGAUAGAGAUCACUUUUUGCUUGUAUUUCACCAAUCACCCUGUGAAGUUCUCAACUUCCAAAUUUGUUAAAUCACUGCAUUUUGUUAGCUAGAAUUGUUUUAGAAAUUGUGACUUUUGAGAUGGUAAUGUCUAAUUGAGUUAUUCCUCUCAUUUUUUUCUUGCUACUA